AAUUCAUCGAAGUCCGCAAAACAAAACAAAUGACCACUUUGUGUUCUUUUCCAUCUUCCCCGCGAUUCUUCACCACCAAAGCCCCUCUUUUAUCCUUCUCCAUUCAGUUAGGAUUUUUGUAUUUUUAAGGGUUGUUUACAAGGGAGACCCAAGUUGGUAGUUAGGAGAGAUAGGAGUCUUGGUGGGAAGGAAGUGGUUGUAGCAGCCUGUUGGUAACAUUGGUUCAUCUUCAAGCUCCUUAGCUUCUUCUGGUCAGGCUUCUAGAAAUAACUCUGUAGCUAGAACCCUCAAGCUGGUGGUCUGCUUCAUUGCCUAGACAGAGCUUGGAAGUAGACAAAGAAGACUAUCAAAGAGAAUUAUGUUUCCCAUGCCGAAGAAGCUGAUAAAACAAAGCAAGCAAGGAAUUAUGGAAGAAACUGACAAGUCAUAAGCCAAUUAAGUUGUAAACCUGAGAGUCUCUGCGUUUCACUUUAACGAUAUUAGCAACAUGGUGUAAGAGACUUGUGAAAGCUUGAGAUUAGUGGUUGUGAAGGUAGCUUUGAUGGCAUUAAAGGCGUUGGGAAAUGUUGUGACCACAGACCUGCUGAGAAUCUCGUCUUGUAGAAGAAAGGUGGAUCCUUGUGCUGGACCAGAAAAGUUGAUGAGGUCUUCUCCGGCUCUCGAGAGUUUGCAACUCACAAAGUUGUUUGAAUGAUAAAGAAGGAAUGAGAGCUUCUUGGGGCAUUAUCUUCGUUGGAUCCUUGUCCUGGACCAGAGAAACGUUGGGAGCUUCUUGAUGAUUUUUAUCAAUUAGCUUUUGUAUAAAAUUAUUGUAUUGACAAAAAUAUUAUUGAUUUUAUUUUUGUUGUUAUGUUUGGAAAACCAAAGUAACAUUCUUGAUAUGUAUUACAUGUACAAAAAUUUGUGCUUUGGAUGUCAAAAACAUGGUAUAUGUUGCUAAA